rnacentral:rRNA from 1 species
CCGGGGCUCAACUCCGGUUCUGCAGUGGGUACGGGCAGACUAGAGUGCAGUAGGGGAGACUGGAAUUCCUGGUGUAGCGGUGAAAUGCGCAGAUAUCAGGAGGAACACCGAUGGCGAAGGCAGGUCUCUGGGCUGUAACUGACGCUGAGGAGCGAAAGCAUGGGGAGCGAACAGGAUUAGAUACCCUGGUAGUCCAUGCCGUAAACGUUGGGCACUAGGUGUGGGGGACAUUCCACGUUUUCCGCGCCGUAGCUAACGCAUUAAGUGCCCCGCCUGGGGAGUACGGCCGCAAGGCUAAAACUCAAAGGAAUUGACGGGGGCCCGCACAAGCGGCGGAGCAUGCGGAUUAAUUCGAUGCAACGCGAAGAACCUUACCAAGGCUUGACAUGAACCGGUAAUACCUGGAAACAGGUGCCCCGCUUGCGGUCGGUUUACAGGUGGUGCAUGGUUGUCGUCAGCUCGUGUCGUGAGAUGUUGGGUUAAGUCCCGCAACGAGCGCAACCCUCGUUCUAUGUUGCCAGCGCGUUAUGGCGGGGACUCAUAGGAGACUGCCGGGGUCAACUCGGAGGAAGGUGGGGACGACGUCAAAUCAUCAUGCCCCUUAUGUCUUGGGCUUCACGCAUGCUACAAUGGCC